GCAUUAAUGGGGUAGUGGUAACCUGGGUCGUUGCCAAAGCAGCUACUCGACCCGCCGGGGGUUCGAUUCCCCCUUAAUGCA
rfam:Schizophyllum commune H4-8 unplaced genomic scaffold SCHCOscaffold_8, whole genome shotgun sequence.